rnacentral:rRNA from 1 species
AGUGAACGCUGGCGGUAGGCCUAACACAUGCAAGUCGAACGGCAGCACAGUAAGAGCUUGCUCUUACGGGUGGCGAGUGGCGGACGGGUGAGGAAUACAUCGGAAUCUACUUUUUCGUGGGGGAUAACGUAGGGAAACUUACGCUAAUACCGCAUACGACCUACGGGUGAAAGCAGGGGAUCUUCGGACCUUGCGCGAUUGAAUGAGCCGAUGUCGGAUUAGCUAGUUGGCGGGGUAAAGGCCCACCAAGGCGACGAUCCGUAGCUGGUCUGAGAGGAUGAUCAGCCACACUGGAACUGAGACACGGUCCAGACUCCUACGGGAGGCGGCAGUGGGGAAUAUUGGACAAUGGGCGCAAGCCUGAUCCAGCCAUACCGCGUGGGCGAAGAAGGCCUUCGGGUUGUAAAGCCCUUUUGUUGGGAAAGAAAAGCAGCAGGUUAAUACCCCGCUGUUCUGACGGUACCCAAAGAAUAAGCACCGGCUAACUUCGUG